UGGGGAAUAUUGCACAAUGGGCGAAAGCCUGAUGCAGCAACGCCGCGUGAGUGAUGAAGGCCUUCGGGUUGUAAAGCUCUGUCUUCUGGGACGAUAAUGACGGUACCAGAGGAGGAAGCCACGGCUAACUACGUGCCAGCAGCCGCGGUAAUACGUAGGUGGCAAGCGUUGUCCGGAUUUACUGGGCGUAAAGGAUGCGUAGGCGGAUACUUAAGUCAGAUGUGAAAAUCCCGGGCUUAACUUGGGAACUGCAUUUGAAACUGGGUAUCUAGAGUGCGGGAGAGGAAAGUGGAAUUCCUAGUGUAGCGGUGAAAUGCGUAGAGAUUAGGAAGAACACCAGUGGCGAAGGCGACUCUCUGGCCUGUAACUGACGCUGAGGCGCGAAAGCGUGGGGAGCAAACA
rnacentral:rRNA from 1 species